rnacentral:rRNA from 1 species
UACGUAGGGUGCAAGCGUUGUCCGGAAUUAUUGGGCGUAAAGGGCUCGUAGGCGGUCCAUCGCGUCGGGAGUGAAAAGCUGGGGCUUAACCCCAGUCCUGCUUCCGAUACGGGUGGACUAGAGGUAGGUAGGGGAGAACGGAAUUCCUGGUGUAGCGGUGAAAUGCGCAGAUAUCGGGAGGAACACCAAUGGCGAAGGCAGCACUCUGGGCCGGUACUGACGCUGAGGAGCGAAAGCGUGGGGAGCGAACAGG